rnacentral:rRNA from 1 species
AUUGAACGCUGGCGGCAGGCCUAACACAUGCAAGUCGAGCGGAUGAAGGGAGCUUGCUCCUGGAUUCAGCGGGGACGGGUGGGUAAUGCCUUGGAAUCUGCCUGGUAGUGGGGGAUAACGUCCGGAAACGGGCGCUAAUACCGCAUACGUCCUGAGGGAGAAAGUGGGGGAUCUUCGGACCUCACGCUAUCAGAUGAGCCUAGGUCGGAUUAGCUAGUUGGUGGGGUAAAGGCCUACCAAGGCGACGAUCCGUAACUGGUCUGAGAGGAUGAUCAGUCACACUGGAACUGAGACACGGUCCAGACUCCUACGGGAGGCAGCAGUGGGGAAUAUUGGACAAUGGGCGAAAGCCUGAUCCAGCCAUGCCGCGUGUGUGAAGAAGGUCUUCGGAUUGUAAAGCACUUUAAGUUGGGAGGAAGGGCAGUAAGUUAAUACCUUGCUGUUUUGACGUUACCAACAGAAUAAGCACCGGCUAACUUCGUG